rnacentral:lncRNA from 1 species
AUUACCCUGUCUUGUAUGAUAGACUUGCUACGACUUCACAAAAAUGUAAAAAAAGGAUCAAAUUCAAACAAAAAAAAAAUGAAAUUUAUGUAUGUUACAUGUUAAAGAACUGCUCUAGAUUGGACUCAACUCAGAGGGAAGCCUCUGCGUGGCUUAAAGUUUGCUUCUAAGUUGGAGAAACCGGCCAGCACACUUCACGUUGUCACCGUUGUGUUGUGGAACUCGGUAAUGGAUGGGGAUUUCACAAGUGAUUAAUGACUCGCAGGCAGGUCUGGCUGAAGGCUUUCAUAGAGGCAAUGUAAAUCACGCAGGGCAGCUGCAGGCUCUUCAGACAGCACCAGUCAGGCUCGUAGACACUGAUCUGCAUGCUGAAACUGAAUCUGUGUCCCCUGCCCUAACCCUGGCUGCGGGGACAGGCCUGGCAGCUGCUGUUCGCCGAGGAGCUGUGUCAGCCUGGCAGGAGCAGCCGUGCUGGAGAUGCCACUCGUGGUUCGGAGCCGGCGGUGAGCUCCUCGGGGAUGUGGGGCUGUGCCCAGCGGGGCCGUGCCACAGGAGGACUGCGAGGAGCCUGCAGUAAAUGAGCUGUGCGGAUACGCAGGAACAUGAAUCAAAGGAAUUCGGCUGACUCCUGCGCGCCCCGUUUGCCCCGUCACGUAAUAGGAGAUGCGCCGUGAGUGCUGCCCGCUCUGAAAACACCCCAGGACAAAAAACUGUUUGUGAGGCGUCUCAGUGCAACUUCCCAAAAUCUGGUUACGUAAGGGGAAAAAAAAAAAUAAUCCAGCUUUGGAAUACAUUAACUUGGUUGGACAGUCCUGGGCGGAGGUACCAGUCAGAAACAAAUCAAUUAGUGAAGGCUGCAGAGAAAUUUCACUGGUUUUGAGCUGCAGAGCCAGGCUGGGGAGUUGCAUGUUCCACCUCCAACAUUUAACACCGGGCAUUUGAAACAUCACCCGUGUCUAAAGAGCCCACGAGGUGACGUGAGAGGAGCCUCGGGCCCAUGCUGUGCUUUUGAUGGGUUAACCCCCAACUUUAAAAAUAAAACGAAAGCAUGGGGAGGGUGAGGCUGCAGCGUUCCUCGGCUGGAAGCAAAAAUCAGCACGGAAUGAAAGCCGGGCUGCUUUUGGGACUCGUGCUGAUGGCUGUGUUGUUAGGAGGGAGAUGUUUCCAUGGCAAAACCAUCGCCCUCGGCGCUGCUGCACGGCGCGGGGAUGCGGUGGUGGCCCUGGGGAGCGUCCUGGUGCGCUCAGCAUCUCCCCAACGCAGGGUGGGAGCUCGGGGCCGUGCCGGGAAGGCUGCCUGCUCAGCAUUUAUUUGCCAGCCCUCCCGACUUUAAAGGAAAGCUAAAAGCAAAGGCGAGACCGAAAUAGCUCAUUUUUGUCUCAGCAGAGAAAUUCUUGCUUUGAGCAUCGUUGUCACUCAGCCUAAAUUGGUUUUAAAUGCUUGUCGGGAUGGGGCAGCAUUUCUCAGCCGCUCGUUCCCUGGCACCCCACUGAGGCAGAGUCUGGCCUUGAAGGCCAAGGACUCAGACAUCAUCGUGCUUCUUCCUGACUGUGUUAGGGCUGCUGUUAUUUAGGGCUGGAGGGAUGUUAACAGGUAUUUUGUUGCCCCUACCUUUAAUUUCACAGCAGCCCUGUCCUGCACGGCACGGAUAACCCUGCCUGGCCAAGCCAUCCCCACGGGGACACCGUUUGCCACGCAGCCACGCAGGGUGUCCCAAAUCCCUCCUGCAGAGGCAGGCAUGGCGCUGCUCGGGGCUGUAUUUUUAAACCCCAGCUGAUAAAUUUUGGAGGUUCCUCGCCUUCCCCUGCCCCCUCGCCCCUCUCAAAGUGUCAGAGACUG